CCCCACUUGGCUAAGUGGUUACGGCGUGGCACUUGUAAUUGCAUUACUCAUGCCAAGAUCACUCGUUCAACUCGGGUAGUGGGCA